AAACGCUUGAAGUCAGUCGCGUCGUUCAGGAUUCAGCCUUGCUUUUGCUUGGUGCACUUCCUGUUCGAUGGGUCAGCAUCAGUUUUGGCCGGUGGAUAAAGGCUCAGAGAAUGUGGCAUCUUCGGAUGUGUUAUAGCUCUGGGUCACAUACAUCGGCUGGGACUGAGGAAC
rnacentral:rRNA from 1 species